CAGGGGCCCGUUUUACUGAAAGCCUACCCCUGUUAAAUAACAGCUUGAAAUAAAUUUAAAGAAUAA
rnacentral:ncRNA from 1 species